CAGCCGCCGCGGUAAUACCGGCGGCCCGAGUGGCGGUCACUUUUUUUGGGCUUAAAGCGUCCGUAGCCGGGUUGGGAAGUCCUCCGGGAAAUCUGGCCGCUUAACGGUCAGAAUGCCGGAGGAUACUCCCAGCCUAGGGAGCGGGAGAGGCCGAGGGUAUUCCCGGAGUAGGGGUGAAAUCCUAUAAUCCCGGGAGGACCACCGGUGGCGAAGGCGCUCGGCUGGAACGCGUCCGACGGUGAGGGACGAAGGCCAGGGGAGCAAACCGGAUUAGAUACCCGGGUAGUCCUGGCGGUAAACGAUGCGGACUUUGUGUCGGACAAGCUAUGAGCUUGUCCGGUGCCGGAGGGAAACCGUUAAGUCCGCCGCCUGGGGAGUACGGCCGCAAGGCUGAAACUUAAAGGAAUUGGCGGG
rnacentral:rRNA from 1 species